rnacentral:rRNA from 1 species
CCUACGGGCUGCAGCAGUGGGGAAUAUUGGGCAAUGGGCGCAAGCCUGACCCAGCAACGCCGCGUGAAGGAAGAAGGCUUUCGGGUUGUAAACUUCUUUUCUGAGGGGCGAAGAAAGUGACGGUCCCUCAGGAAUAAGCCACGGCUACCUACGUGCCCGCAGCCGCGGUAAUACGUAGGUGGCAAGCGUUAUCCGGAUUUAUUGGGUGUAAAGGGCGUGUAGGCGGGAAAGCAAGUCAGAUGUGAAAACUCAGGGCUCAACCCUGAGCCUGCAUUUGAAACUGUUUUUCUUGAGUGCUGGAGAGGCAAUCGGAAUGCCGUGUGUAGCGGUGAAAUGCGUAGAUAUACGGAGGAACACCAGUGGCGAAGGCGGAUUGCUGGACAGUAACUGACGCUGAGGCGCGAAAGCGUGGGGAGCAAACAGGAUUAGAUACCCCGGUAGUC